GGGUGCGUCGCAUAGCGGCAAUUGCACUGCGCUGUAAACGCAGCGCCCUAACGGGCUACGCAGGUUCGAGUCCUGCCGCACCCACCA
rnacentral:tRNA from 1 species